rnacentral:lncRNA from 1 species
AUGGCGAGGCGGCCGUUCUUGAUCUCCUUGGUGCGGAGCACCAUGACAGGCUCCGGCGAGCCGCGGCCCCAGUUGCCCCAGUCGAACCACAGGCCCCCAGGUACCCCACGUCCGGGGUGGGGUUCUUGCGGUUGGGGAACCGCGGCUCGAUGUCCACGGACCUCGGGUUGAGGUAGUCCAUACACCGCCGGCCCUCCACCCACCCCAUGAGCGCCAUAUGGGUCACGAAGAGCAUCGACGGGUUCAUGAAGUACUCGUGCUCGCCGGCGGUGUACCAGGAGAACUCCUCCAUGAAGCCCCACUUGUGCAGGAUCUCCGGGACCAGGUUCCUAGUCGUGGCCAGCAUCGCCCACCAGCCGUGCAUCAGCUCUGCCUGCGCGAAACACCGCAGCGACUCCGGCUCCGAUCCGAAUCCGAGAGGAUCAAAUCCAAAGUCUCCCGGGAGGCUGAAGGGGAAUGACAACAUAGGCAUAAUGUCAGAGACGAAAUAAAAUUCAGUACGUAUUUUCCACGAACGAUGCAUAGAGUAUGAAAUUGGGUUUAGACUCAUAUCCGCCUCAUAUUUGAGCUGUAUAUUAGAGGUGUCAGUCAGCCCGGAUGUAUGAGGCCCGUUUGAUGCGUCCAUCUGGAUCGAAAUUUCGUGAGUGGUCAGUGACCGGACGGGCCGUCCGUACGUUUGAGAAUUUUAUUUUAUUUUUGCGAAAAGUUUGUGAAGUGUUUAGCGCCCGGUUGUAGAUGCUCUUAGUCAUGAAAUGGUGAAAACCGUGGGCUCUAGUGUAGAUUCUCUUUAUCUGGCCGCCCUGUCCGGAUGGAGUAGUACCACGUUGCGUUGGUUCAUCUCGGCCGUGGUUAAGUCACGUCGUUACGCCAUUAUUCAUGUUUUUCUUUCGAUGACAUCGUUGCGCCAUUGAUUAUGCGUUAACGACGCAGGGGCAUGGCGUUACUGUUCCGUUUGUCAUUAGUGGUGAGGAGACAGUUAUGAAAGCAAGCUGACUGAGAGACAGCUCAUGGAGGGAAUUGGCUCGUGGACUGGACUGCACACCAGCCGCAACAACAGGACUUCCUUCCUUCCGGUGCCUGAAUCUGAGGCUCUGGCAAACAGCAACCAUCCUAUCUAUCUAUCCUAGGUUCAACUAGCCCAAUAAAUAAGGGAAUAUCAAUCUCUGAGUCCAGACUCCAGACUCAUCUACAUCCAAUCAAAGAAAACCAUAUACAAUUUAAAAAAUUCAAAAGAAUCCAUUUUUGUAUGGUAGAUAAAUUGAUGUGUGAGGUGCAUUUCAAAUUUCAGAUUAUUUGAACAUAUAAGAGCUCUCAGCAAAAAAGGUAAAUUGGACCAGAACAGCAUUUAACAGUAAACUUUAUUACAGACCCCAAAUUUACCUUUUCUGCGGAUAGCUACUCAAAUGUUCAAAUGAUCUGAAAUUUUGAGCGAGCCUCUCGCAUCAAAUCAUUUACCAUGCAAAAAAAGAUUUUUUUUAAUUAUAUUUGUUUUGAUUUAUUUUUUAUUCAGCACGGGCGCGACGAGCGUAGGCAUCAAAUCGGUGCUCUCAAUAAUAAGCCCACGGGAUAAUGCAAUGAACACGAGAGAGAGAAAAAGAAAAUCCUCUCGCCCAAGAACGCCAAAGCCUGCCAGAAACUGAAACCGACGAGGCAAAGCCUGCCACAUGUCCCAUGUGUUGUUCCUUGCUCGACGCGUGGAGCGUGGAGCGUGGAGCGCCCAACCAAAGAUCCUUUGCCGCUUCUGCGUCGUCUCUCCCUGGGAAAGAUCCUUCUUCGUUCUUGCACCUUUUCGCCUCAUGCCAUUUCCUUGCGCCCGUUGCUGCCUCUUGCGGUCUGUCCCGGGGAAAGGCGUUGGUUGUUUAGCCUCUUCUUCUCGUCAACAAGAUUAACGAUCAUGCCGUUCAUGACGGCGCCGAUGCCCGUUAGCCCUUUUUGAUGUGUGCCGACUUGAUCUCUUCUCGGGUCGGUUACGGGACUAAACAUGUGUUGGGUGGCGAUGAUGGUUGAUGUGACCCUCCCUGCUAACGUACGGCUAACCAUGUGCGCGUGGUUUCGUCAGGUUCGAAAGCGAAACUUAUUCUACGCAAAAAAAAAAAGCGAAACAUAUUCUACGGAAAAAAAAAGUGAAACAUAGGAGUGGAAGACAAAUUCAUUGCACGAGUGACCCGGUCAGGCGUGAACGGAUACGGAUGCAAGGGCUAGCUCGAGGAUAGGAGAGGAAUAUGCAGCCAGAUGCUCUUCGCUAAUCCGGCCAUGACACGCAGUUGUGGAUAGAAUAGUAAACAUAAUGCAGUCGGUGACAGACACGAUAGGAGGACACCACUCUUCUUCUUCGCGCAAUCAGCCUGCUCCCCUGUCUCGAAAUUAACUGGCAGCUGGCUUAUAUUCUGUGCGGAAAGCACGAUUCUUCAGUGUGGCUCAAUGCAUCGACUACGUUCACUCUUUUCUUUUUAAAUUAUUGUUCUGUUUUUGAAAUAGCUCACCGUCAUGGUGACUAGCAAAUACGGUUUGGACGGUUGUCCCAUCCAGAACACACGUAGCCCCAUGAUACAACUUAAAAUUACAACCAAGUCCUUCGUGAGCCGCAAGACCCACCAGGUGGACUAAUUGGCAAUUGACGCAUAUCGGUUGGGGAAUCCCCAUGCUCUUCUCGGCCUCGGGCCCGCGAAGAAUGCCGGCCAUCGCCGAAAAAAGAGGCAAAUCCGACAUUCAGCACACAAGAGAUUCACAACCGACCUGCUGCCGACGCCACCUCCCAAAGAGAAAGCAACGGACGACCGACGACUCCUUGUCGUAAGCAUAGAAGACCCGAUGAGGCAUAUCUCUGGACUGCCAACGAAAGGAGUCCGAGCGCUGUCGUGCACGGGCCUCCUCCCGGGAGCGGCGAAGCGCAAGCCGGACGGCCACUCUCCUCCUCGCGGCCGUGUGGGAUGACCUCGGGGUCGACGGAUCUGAAGGUGAAGAACUCGGAUCCGCUGCCCGCCAUGCCGGAGACGAGGUUGGAUGGUGCAGGAGAGUGGACUGAAGUGGCUAGGGUUUGGUCCGGCGAGUGGAUGGGCAGAAAUAUAUGUGAGGUCGGGUGGGCGAGCAUGGGCCGGGUCCGACAUGACUGGCGCGUCCGGCGCCCCAUAUCCGCCCCAUAUUUGAACUGGAUAUAAGGAGUGUCGGUCAGUCCGGACGUUUGAGGCCAGUUUGAGGGUGACAAGUCAUGGAUCAGACGGCCAGCCCGAGCGUUUGUGAAGUGUUCGGGAUGCCCGGCUGUGGAAAUGCCCGAGCGCUAGUCCUCCCACCAAGAACACCAGCCAGCAGCGACAGAAUGGCAAAGGCAACCUGCGUCUGAGUGUCCCACGUGUUGUUCCUUGCUCGGGCCCGUGGAGCGUGGAGAGUAGAGUGCCCAACCAAAGAUCCCUUGCCGCUUUUGCAUCGCCUUUCCCAUGUGUUCUUCUUUCUUGCUCCUUCCCUUGCGGUCUGUUUCCAAGGAAAGGCGUUGGUUGUUUAGCCUCUUCUUUUCGUCAACAAGAUUAACGAUCAUCAGUUCAUGGCGAUGCGUGCCGACUUGAUCUCCUCUCGGGUCGGUUACGGGACUAAACACGUGUUGGCGGCGACGAUGUGACCCUGCUAACGUCCGGCUAACUAUCGGAACAGAGGUUGGCAUGGCUCAGCUCAUCUGUGGUGCAGUGCGGUUUUGUAAGGUUCGAAAGCCAAACUCAUGUCCUCGUUUCUUUGGUCCAGUGAUGAUGCUUCUAGUAGAUUCGUCGUGCGGCCCGGCCAGGUGUGGACGGAACGGAUGGAUGGAUGGAUGCAAAGGCUCGAGGAGAGGAAUGUGCGGCCAGAUGCUCCUCGCUAGUCCGGCCGUGGCACGCAGCUGUAGAAUAAACAAAAUGCAGUCGGUGACACGACACGAUAGGAGGGCACUGUUGGGAAACCAGGUCACCCGGAGGGGUGGCGGCGGCCGCGUGCAAAGCGCACGGGCCGGCCCCUUUCGUUUCUUUUUUGUUAAGUGGGUACUUAUCCCUUGACCCCUGGUCUAUAUAUAAAGCAACGAGGGAUUAUCAUUGUAAUCUCUGAUCAUUGAUUAAUAAAGCUGGUCUCCUCCAUCUCUCUGUGUCAUUUUACUUUCGCAUACUUCGACUACUUCGUCUACGACGCUCGCUCUCGCUCCGCAACCUCGGACCGGACUCGCCGGCGGAGUUGCGGAACACGUUAUCAGCACGCUUCGCUCCAUCAACUCUCCGUCAAGCCUGCGUCAAGCCUGCAUCACGCAGGCUUUCGUCGAUCCCGCGGAGGUAUAAGAUCCGAUCCCCAUUUUUUUUGCAAAAAUGGAUUCCUCUCGUUGCUACGAUUCCGUUUUUGCGAUUAGAUUAUUAUUCGGAUUUGAUCUACCUAUGGUGCGGAUUUUCCUCCCAAGAACCGAGCGGACGAACACGUCGCCGACCAAUGUCGAUGUUCUUGGACUACGAGGGACUUGUUGACUGCACUAUAGGGAGUCGGUACAGAUCGCGACCCUGAUGGUCGCGGUACCGCCGCAAAUGCACCAAAUGUGUCAUGCGCCGUCGGAGUUCCGGACGAACACGACGAAGAUCCGCAUCCCGAGGCCGGCGUCCAGAUGACGCCGUACCAAGCACGCUGCACCGCGUCCUGCUGACGCCGCCGCCGCUGUCUCGAUGGCCGGCUCGACGCCGCGUCGUGNNNNNNNNNNNNNNNNNNNNNNNNNNNNNNNNNNNNNNNNNNNNNNNNNNNNNNNNNNNNNNNNNNNNNNNNNNNNNNNNNNNNNNNNNNNNNNNNNNNNNNNNNNNNNNNNNNNNNNNNNNNNNNNNNNNNNNNNNNNNNNNNNNNNNNNNNNNNNNNNNNNNNNNNNNNNNNNNNNNNNNNNNNNNNNNNNNNNNNNNNNNNNNNNNNNNNNNNNNNNNNNNNNNNNNNNNNNNNNNNNNNNNNNNNNNNNNNNNNNNNNNNNNNNNNNNNNNNNNNNNNNNNNNNNNNNNNNNNNNNNNNNNNNNNNNNNNNNNNNNNNNNNNNNNNNNNNNNNNNNNNNNNNNNNNNNNNNNNNNNNNNNNNNNNNNNNNNNNNNNNNNNNNNNNNNNNNNNNNNNNNNNNNNNNNNNNNNNNNNNNNNNNNNNNNNNNNNNNNNNNNNNNNNNNNNNNNNNNNNNNNNNNNNNNNNNNNNNNNNNNNNNNNNNNNNNNNNNNNNNNNNNNNNNNNNNNNNNNNNNNNNNNNNNNNNNNNNNNNNNNNNNNNNNNNNNNNNNNNNNNNNNNNNNNNNNNNNNNNNNNNNNNNNNNNNNNNNNNNNNNNNNNNNNNNNNNNNNNNNNNNNNNNNNNNNNNNNNNNNNNNNNNNNNNNNNNNNNNNNNCCGUCGGGUGGCGCCCGCCCCCACCGCGCGAACUGGCCGGCCCCCGGCCGCCGCCGCCCCUGGGCGCUAGGGGAAACCCUAGCGGCGCGUGCCUAACCCGUGCGCAGCGCCUGGGCCGGCUCGCUGGCUGUUGGGCCGGAUAGGCCGCGGCCGUGGGAUCCCUCCAAUAAAAAAAAAGAGGGGCGCCGGCUGUCACGUAAAAAUUGCGGUUUAGCCCCUGUAGUUUUCAGUUCUUGCGCGAUUUUUAUUCCUGCGGCAAUAUUUCGCGUAGAACCCCCUGGAACUGUCUGUUUUUCGCUGAAAAUGCGUAUUUGGGCUUAAAAAUACCUCGGGAAUUCAAUUUUUGGGCUACUUUUCACAUAUUGAUGCGCUUAACAUGCUAUCUUAUGUAACAUGAUAUUAUUGUACGAUUUUACUGCUGUAGAUUAAUUGUUUAGCACUCUUAAUCAUUUAGUAAGUCAUAUAAUAGCAUGUUUUAAAUAUUGGAACGUCACUUUCUUGAAUAAGUUUAUCAACAUCGCUUUGUGCAAAAGAUUACCUGCUGUAAUCUCAUGAUUUUUGCAUAAAUCGCAGAUGGCCGGAAUUGUCCACAAGGAGUUUCCUGAGUUGGCCCAGACAGGUCUGAACUACCUGUCAUGGUCCUCGGACUGCGAGAUCUUUCUCCAGGGCAAAACCCUCCUGAGGGCGAUCGGUAAGGGGGCCCAGCUGGCCGUCACUGAUCCCAAGUUCGAGACUGAGAAUGCGCAGGCUCUGCACUUUCUCCGUCAUCACCUGUCACCUACUCUGAAAGAUGAGUAUAUGGCUGAGCGCAGUGCUUCUGGCCUUUGGACCGCUCUUAAGCAGCGGUUUGAGCGGCUGAAGUACACUGUGAAGCCACGUUGUAACACCCUGAGGAUCAUGCUACAGUAACUCUCUGUGAUUAAGCUAAUCAUGUUGCUAAACAGGGCAUGAUCACAUUUGGAAUCACACUUCUUUUCAAACUCCUAAUUCAAACUCCAAUUAAAAUUAAAGUGGAAAAUAAAAGUUUUCAAAAAUUUGAACAAAAAUGUUCGGUGGGUGCCAAAUAAUACACUGGUAACUAUGGUGGAGAAAACACAUUUUUAUAAAAUACCUAAAUACUUUUAAAUGAAAUAAAAUAGAAAAGAAAAUAAACAAAUAAAAAGAAAGAGCAAAAGAAAUCAGAACAGACAAAGAAAAAGAAAAAAAGGAGAAGGCCCCCCCACAGCACCCCUGGCCCAACUGGGCCGACCCCCGGCCCAGCCCACCUCUCCCCCUCGCCCCCUUCCCUGUUCCCCCGACCGGGGUCGGAACAGGGGCCGGUCCCCGCCGCACCACCUCGCCGGCGACGGGGAGGAUAAGGGCGCCAGCACCCCCCGCCGCCUCGGGCCUCUCUCCCACUCACCCCGCUCACCUCUCGGCCCCUGCGCCUCCCUCUCCCCCCUCCCAGAUCCGCGCCGCUCUUCCCUUCCCCACGCCCGACGCGGUCGCCGCCGUUCACCGUCGUUCCCGCGGCCACCGUGCCCCAAUCGCCACCUCGUCGUGUCGUACGCCGUCGCCGCCCUCGACUACACCACCUCCGCCUCUCCGUUGAAGCUCGGAGCCACUGCAACGGCCUCCCCGAGCUCGUCUUCAACUUCGGACGCCGGCGACCCCCUUCUUCCCCGGCGCCGACCUGCUGCUCCUAAGCUCUCACCGGCCUCCGUGUGCCGCGCGGUGAGCCUCUCCCCCCUCCUCCCCUGUCCUUUCUCUCUCGCGCGCCCCCUAGCUGCUGCCCCACGUGCGCCCGAACGCCGCGCCGCGGAGCUCGCCGCCGGCAAGGCUCCGGUGACCUUUUGGUCACAGGCUCAAGCCCGCAGCACUCCCCACCGCACGUAGAUGCUCCCUAGCUCCUCCGCUUGCCCGAUCUCGCGCCGAACCAACGUUGUCGUUGCUCGCCCGAAGCACCUCGCCGCCGGCGAGCUCGUAGCGCUCGCCCCCGCCCGUUCCAGCCCCUCCGGCCACCACCGUUGGACGCGCGGCGCCGAGCCGCGUCGAACGCGCCCAGCCGCGACCCCGCAGACCCCUGUGCGUGAAACCCGCGCCCCUNNNNNNNNNNNNNNNNNNNNNNNNNNNNNNNNNNNNNNNNNNNNNNNNNNNNNNNNNNNNNNNNNNNNNNNNNNNNNNNNNNNNNNNNNNNNNNNNNNNNNNNNNNNNNNNNNNNNNNNNNNNNNNNNNNNNNNNNNNNNNNNNNNNNNNNNNNNNNNNNNNNNNNNNNNNNNNNNNNNNNNNNNNNNNNNNNNNNNNNNNNNNNNNNNNNNNNNNNNNNNNNNNNNNNNNNNNNNNNNNNNNNNNNNNNNNNNNNNNNNNNNNNNNNNNNNNNNNNNNNNNNNNNNNNNNNNNNNNNNNNNNNNNNNNNNNNNNNNNNNNNNNNNNNNNNNNNNNNNNNNNNNNNNNNNNNNNNNNNNNNNNNNNNNNNNNNNNNNNNNNNNNNNNNNNNNNNNNNNNNNNNNNNNNNNNNNNNNNNNNNNNNNNNNNNNNNNNNNNNNNNNGCUCGUCGGAGUCGCUCCGGCGCCGGCCGCCGACAUGGCUGGCCUGGGGCCCCCCCAGUGCCACUGCCAGUGGGCCCGUGGGCCCCGUUGACUGGGUCCACCCAGUCAACGUGCUGACUGGGCAGGCCCAGCCACUGACAUGCGGGCCCCGCCGCAAAAUUUAAAAAAAGAAAAAAGAAAAAUGUUUUAUAAAUAAAAAUAAUUAGAUUAAUUAAUCACUCACUGACAUAUGGGGCCCACCCCUCUAAUUAGACUGUUAGUUUAGUUUAAAUUAAUAUUAGACUAACAGAGGCUGACCUGUGGGUCCCACUGGACCCACAUGUCUGGUUUGACUGGUCAGCCGACCUGUUGACCUGCUGACGUCAGCAUUGCCUCAUGCUGACGUCAUAAUUCAUUUUUGCUUAAUUUAAAUAAUUCCAGAAAUUCAAAUAAACUUUGAAAAUUCAUAUCUUUUAAACCGUAACUCGGAUGAAAAUGUUUUCUAUAUGAAAGUUGCUCAGAACGACGAGACGAAUCCGAAUAUGCAGUCCGUUCGUCCACCACACCUCCCUAACCUAUCGAACUAGCAACUUUCCCCCUCUGGUCCGUCUGUCCAAAAAAGCGAAACAUCGGGAAUACCUCCCGGAUGUUCCCCCCGUUCACCGGUACCACCUACUGUCGCGUUAGGACACACCUAGCACCGCUCAUUGUAUUGUCACGCAUCGUCAUGCUUAUGUUUGCAUUGUAUUUACUGUUUCUUCCCCCCUCUUCUCUCCGGUAGACUACGAGACCGACACUGCUGCUGCCCAGUUCGACUACGGAGUCGACGACCCCUCCUACUUGCCAGAGCAACCAGGCAAGCCCCCCCCUUGAUCACCAGAUAUCGCCUAUUCUUCUCUAUACUGCUUGCAUUAGAGUAGUGUAGCAUGUUACUGCUUUUCGAUAUCCUAUCCUGAUGCAUAGCCUAUCCUUGCUACUACUGUUGAUACCUUUACCUGCAAUCCUACAUGCUUAGUAUAGGAUGCUAGAUUUCCAUCAGUGGCCCUACAUUCUUGUCCGUCUGUUGUGCUAUACUAUCGGGCCGUGAUCACCUGGGCGGUGAUCACGGGUAUAUACUUAUAUACUAUAUACAUGACACAUGAGAUGACUAAAGUCGGGUCGGCUCGUAGGAGUACCCGCGAGUGUAUCUUUGUGGCGGAGCGACAAGGCAGGUUGAGACUGCCUAGGUGAGAGGUGGGCCUGGCCCUGGUCGGCGUUCGCGGUUACUUAACACGCUUAACGAGAUCUUGGUAUUUGAUCUGAGUCUGGCCAUUUGGUCUAUACGCACUAACCACUUACGUGGGAGUAGUUAUGGGUAUCCCGACGUCGUGGUAUCAGCCGAAGCUCUUUUGACGUCAGCAACUGAGUGGCGCGCGCCGCAUUGGACCGUAAGCUCGCGCUUGUAUUAAGGGGGCUAGGUCUGCUUCCGGCCGCGUACGCAACGUGCAGGUGUGCAUAGGGCGAUGGGCCCAGACCCCUGCGCGCAUAGGUUUAGACCGGCGUGCUGACCUCUCUGUUGAGCCUAGGUGGGGCUGCGACGUGUUGAUCUUACGAGGCCGGGCAUGACCCAGAAAAGUGUGUCCGGCCAAAUGGGAUCGAGCGUGUUGGGUUAUGUGGUGCACCCCUGCAGGGAAGUUUAUCUAUUCGAAUAGCCGUGUCCCUCGGUAAAAGGACGACCCGGAGUUGUACCUUGACCUUAUGACAACUAGAACCGGAUACUGAAUAAAAUACACCCUUCCAAGUGCCAGAUACAACCCGGUGAUCGCUCUCUAACAGGGCGACGAGGAGGGGAUCACCGGGUAGGAUUAUGCUAUGCGAUGCUACUUGGAGGACUUCAAUCUACUCUCUUCUAUUUGCUGCAAGAUGGAGAUGACCAGAAGCGUAGUCUUCGAUAGGACUAGCUUUCCCCCUUUUAUUCUGGCAUUCUGCAGUUCAGUCCACUGAUAUGCCCCUUUACACAUAUACCCAUGCAUAUGUAGUGUAGCUCCUUGCUUGCGAGUACUUUGGAUGAGUACUCACGGUUGCUUCCCUCCCUCUUUUCCCCUUUUCCUUUCCAUCUGGUUGUCGCAACCAGAUGCUGGAGUCCAGGAGCCAGACGCCACCGUCGAUGACGACUCCUACGACACUGGAGGUGCCUACUACUACGUGCAGGCCGCUGACGACGACCAGGAGAAGUUAGGAGGAUCCCAGGCAGGAGGCCUGCGCCUCGUUCGAUCUGUAUCCCAGUUGUGCUAGCCUUCUUAAGGCAAACUUGUUUAACUUAUGUCUGUACUCAGAUAUUGUUGCUUCCGCUGACUCGUCUGUGAUCGAGCACUUGUAUUCGAGCCCUCGAGGCCCCUGGCUUGUAUUAUGAUGCUUGUAUGACUUAUUUAUGUUUUAGAGUUGUGUUGUGAUAUCUUCCCGUGAGUCCCUGAUCUUGAUCGUAUACAUUUGCGUGCAUGAUUAGUGUACGGUCAAAUCGGGGGCGUCACAAGUUGGUAUCAGAGCCGACUGCCUGUAGGAAUCCCCCUUUCCACACUCCUUGGCCGAAGUCGAGUCUAGACAUUACGAAAACUUUUACUAACAUGGCUAUGUGUCUUACGGGCCCACGUCGCCAUUGGGUGGUACUAGGAUCUUUUACUCCUCGACCUUUACUCUGGGACUCUGAACUCUCUUCUACUCGGGUUAAACGAAUUUACUAACUUUAACACUAGGAUCCCGUGACCGCGUUCACCCCAAAGUUGGAUAAGCCAUAGUUGUUUCUUAGAAUAGUAUAUUGAACAAUUCACACUCUGUCAUUUGACUCCUUUGAAACGUCUUUGCUUUCAGAUGGAACCCACGAGGCAGGUCGUGCGCCACACGACGGCCAUUGGUGCCUCGGGAUCACCUGCGGUGCUAGCUGAGAUGAUGACCUAUCUGGGUUAUCGCUGGCACCCUGAGUACACCGUCUACGAGGAGUACCAGGACUUUAACCAGGAGCAGUACCGUGCCAUCGUCCACCUCUACUCUCGGGAGUACGACUCCACUACUGUGCUGCACACCGCACAUGGUGUUGGUGUGACCAUCGAUAUGGCUGUCCACGACGCUGCCUAUGCUACUCUGACACGUCUUCGUGGAGAGUAUCAGGAGUUGGACACCUCCCCUUUCAGGCACAUUGCUAUCGCAUCUGAUGUUGGUGCGGAGGGAUACUAUACUGCUGCCUACUCCACUAUCACCCGAGAGCCCUUCUACCAUCAGCACCUGGUUCUGCAUGCUGAUGGGCUGGAUCGAGCUAACCGAGCUCUUCGCCACGAGAUGUACACCACCCGUCAGCACCUUUACCGUGCUCUGACGCUACUGCACCCCUUUGUCCGGUCUGGACAGGUACCGCGUACUGCGAUCUACCCAGCCAGGACCGUGAUGCCCCACGGUGUCGGUUGGCCAAAGGUGGGAGGCUACUCUCCCGCACUUGGUCCUCUUCUGCCACCUGAGCGUCGGGCUCUACACCUGGGUAUCCGCGGCCCCCAGUCUGCUGACGUGGAGGGCUAUCCGUUGCCUCACUACCAGCUGUCGGGCUACGAUUACCUCCACAGUACCUCUUGGGACUGAUGUAGUCUUGCUUAGUUAGUAUUAGUUGCAGUUGCCGCGAGCCUGUGUGCCGCCUAUGAUGUUUUAGUCUAUGUACUGAACUCUAUGUACUGAACUCUAUGCAUGACCCCUUUUGUAAGUUAUGCUGACUACUAUGUAGCAGCUAUCGUGCUCCUUUCGUUAUGCAUGUUUCAUCAUGAAUGAUUCUUGUCUUUGCAAAUAUUUCUCAAUGCUGAACUACCCCUGUUAUAUAUUAGCAGGAUGGUUAGACCAGGUGGUCGUGGUCGUGGUGGCGAUGCCCCACCACCACCUGAGUACAUGGCUGGUAUGAUCCAACAGUUUGAACUGAACCGCCAAUUCAUGGAAAAUAUGAUGGCUCAGUUUCCUCGCCCCAAUAUGAACCAGCAGCCAGCCCAAGUGACUCUUCAAGAUUUCAUACGCCUCAACCCAACCAUCUACCGCAGCUCAACUCAGCCUCUGGAUGCUGAUGACUGGCUCCGUGACAUCACCUAUGAGAUGGAGUCUGCUGAUGUAGCCCCUACCAGUUAUGUCACUUUUGCUUCCUUCUUCUUGAAGGGACCCGCAGCUCAAUGGUGGGACAGCCACAGGCGUACUCUGCCAGCUGGAACAAUCAUCACAUGGCCAGACUUCCAAGCAGCUUUCCGUGCCCGCUUCAUUCCUCAAGGAGUCAUGGACCGGAAGAAGCGUGAGUUCCGCAACCUCACCCAAGGCAACAAAACUGUCGAAGCUUAUCAGCGGGAGUUUCUGGACUUGUCCCGCUAUGCUGAAGAAGACAUUGCAACUGAUGCACGCAGACAGGAGAAGUUCCGUGAUGGCCUUCAAGCUGACAUCAAGCUCGCACUUCUAGUGCAUGACUUUGCUGAUUUCGCCACCUUGGUGAACAAGGCCAUCAAUGUCGAAACUGGUCUGCAGGAAUACCAGAGCUCUCACAGGCGCAACCGUGACACGGGCUCAUCUUCGGGCUCGCCCGCACAGAAGCGUAAGAUAUGGAUCCCGAACAGCACGUACCGUCCAAAUGCAUCUGCCCCAAGGCAGACAUAUGCUGCACCUCGUCUGCCUCCACCACCAUCUAGGCAGUCAAGACUUCCAGCUCCACCAUCCCAAGCUCCUGUUCCCACUCCCAAUAAUGGUCUGUGCUACAAGUGUGGGCAACCAGGUCACCGUGCCAGGGACUGCAAUCAGAAUCAGAAUCAACUGGCCCUUCCAGCAACGGGCCGUGGUAACAACCAGCCCCGCAACAACAAUGCUAAGCCUUAUGGUCGUGCUCAUGCCAACCACGUUGAUCUCAACGAAGCUCAAGAACAGCCUGCUACUGUGAUGGGUACACUCCUCGUAAAUUCAGUACCAGCAUCUGUUUUAUUUGAUACAGGUGCAUCGCAUUCAUUCAUGUCAGAAGAUUUUGCAUACAAGCACGACGUUAAAUGUGAGGAGAUGAACACCUCUGUAUUGGUCAAAACCCCCGUGGGACAAUGUCAAACCUCCUUGGUUGGCAUCGAUGUCCCCGUGGAAAUCGAAGGGCUGGAAUUCUAUGCCUCUCCCAUUAUCCUGAAUUCGUCUAACAUCGACCUCAUUUUGGGUAUGGAUUGGCUGAAAGCGCAUACUGCUUCUAUAGUUUGCGCCACUAAAACCGUCCAUCUGCUACACCCUUCAGAUGAAAUAGUUACUUACCAAGCUAUUCUGGUGCAAAAUGCCGAGGCAAGGCUCUAUGCAUUGAAUGCAUUGAAUGCUGCACCACUCGAGGGCAUUGAAAACAUUCCCGUCGUGCGUGAAUUCCUCGACGUCUUCCCUGAAGAACUUCCAGGGAUUCCCCCUGCUAGAGCUGUCAAAUUCAUCAUCGACUUGAAACCAGGCACCACUCCUAUAGCCAAGCGACCCUACAAAAUGCCGCCGCAUGAACUCCUUGAGCUUAAGGAGGAAAUCGACAAAUCUCUUCGCAAAGGAUUCAUUCGCCCAAGUUGCUCUCCUUGGGGAGCACCUUCUCUCUUUGUCAAGAAGAAGGAUGGGACAAACCGGUUAGUUCAAGACUACCGUCCUAUAAACCAAGCUACCAUUCAGAAUAAAUACCCUCUUCCUCGGAUCAAUGAUCUGUAUGAUCAACUGGCGGGUUCGUCAGUGUUCUCUAAGCUCGACUUGAGGUUGGGCUACCACCAGAUCCGUGUUCGCGAAGAGGAUAUCCCAAAGACCUCCUUCGUGACUCGCUAUGGUUCAUACGAGUACACCGUCAUGUCUUUCGGUUUGACCAAUGCUCCAGCCACCUUCUCUCGUCUGAUGAACUAUAUAUUCAUGGAUUACCUCGACAAGUUCGUCGUGGUUUAUCUGGAUGAUAUCCUGGUAUUUUCCAAGAACGAAGAAGAACAUGCUGAACAUCUUUGACUUGUGCUGGAAAAGCUACGAGAACAUCAACUAUAUGCCAAGUUCUCCAAAUGUGAAUUCUGGCUACCGGAAAUAACCUAUCUUGGGCAUGUCAUCUCUAAGGAUGGUAUUGCCGUCAACCCCGAGCGAGUUCAGGCUAUUCUUGAUUGGACUCCUCCCAAGAACGUUAAGCAAGUCAGAAGUUUUCUCGGUCUCGCCAGCUAUUGCCGUCGAUUUUUCGAGAACUUCUCCAAGAUCGCCAGGCCUCUGACUAACCUGUUACAUAAGGGCGUCAAGUUCCAAUGGACAGACAAAUGUCAGGAAAGUUUCCAGGCACUCAAAGACAAGUUGACUUCUGCUCCAGUUCUAGCUCCACCUGAUACUAAGAAGGACUUCGUCAUUUACUGCGACGCUUCCCGUCAAGGAUUAGGUUGUGUCCUAAUGCAAGACCGCAAAGUGAUUGCUUAUGCCUCUCGGCAAUUGCGCCCUCUCGAAGAGAACUACCCAGUUCAUGACCUCGAACUUGCUGCUGUCAUUCAUGCGCUGAAGCAGUGGCGACAUUACCUUCUUGGUAAUCGUUGCGAGAUCUUCACUGACCACCAAAGUCUGAAGUAUCUGUUUACUCAGCCAGACCUGAACCUCCGUCAGCAGAGAUGGAUGGAGCUUGUUGCAGACUUUGACUUGGGUAUUUCCUAUACGCCAGGCAAGGCUAAUGUAAUGGCUGAUGCCUUGAGCCGCAAGUCUUACUGCAACCACCUCCAGGUUCACAAAGUUCAGCCCUCGCUUGUUGAAGAAUUCAGGAAGCUGAACCUCCAUAUUGUUCCUCCGGGUGCACUCGCUCCCCCUCCUAAGGAGUUUGGCAAGGUGAACCUCCACGUUGUUACCCAGGGUUCCCUCAAUACCCUAGUUGCUAAACCAGAUCUCGUGGAUAGCAUCAAAAGGCUACAGAAGUAUGACUCUGAAGCCCACAAGAUNNNNNNNNNNGCGCCCAGCCGCGACCCCGCAGACCCCCUGUGCGUGAAACCCGCGCCCCUCCCGAGCCGCGCCGCCGCGUUUGGCUCGUCGGAGUCGCUCCGGCGCCGGGCGCCGACGUGGCUGGCCUGGGCCCCCCCAGUGCCACUGCCAGUGGGCCCGUGGGCCCCGUUGACUGGGUCCACCCAGUCAACGUGCUGACUGGGCAGGCCCAGCCACUGACAUGCGGGCCCCGCCGCAAAAUUUAAAAAAAGAAAAAAGAAAAAUGUUUUAUAAAUAAAAAUAAUUAGAUUAACUAAUCACUCACUGACAUAUGGGGCCCACCCCUCUAAUUAGACUGUUAGUUUAGUUUAAAUUAAUAUUAGACUAACAGAGGCUGACCUGUGGGUCCCACUGGACCCACAUGUCUGGUUUGACUGGUCAGCCGACCUGUUGACCUGCUGACGUCAGCAUUGCCUCAUGCUGACGUCAUAAUUCAUUUUUGCUUAAUUUAAAUAAUUCCAGAAAUUCAAAUAAACUUUGAAAAUUCAUAUCUUUUAAACCGUAACUCGGAUGAAAAUGUGUUCUAUAUGAAAGUUGCUCAGAACGACGAGACGAAUCCGAAUACGCAGUCCGUUCGUCCACCACACCUCCCUAACCUAUCGAACUAGCAACUUUCCCCCUCCAGUCCGUCCGUCCGAAAAAGCGAAACAUCGGGAAUACCUCCCGGAUGUUCCCCCCCUUCACCGGUACCACCUACUGUCGCGUUAGGACACACCUAGCACCGCUCAUUGUAUUGUCACGCAUCGUCAUGCUUAUGUUUGCAUUGUAUUUACUGUUUCUUCCCCCCUCUUUUCUCCGGUAGACUACGAGACCGACACUGCUGCUGCCCAGUUCGACUACGGAGUCGACGACCCAUCCUACUUGCCAGAGCAACCAGGCAAGCCCCCCCCCCUUGAUCACCAGAUAUCGCCUAUUCUUCUCUAUACUGCUUGCAUUAGAGUAGUGUAGCAUGUUACUGCUUUUCGAUAUCCUAUCCUGAUGCAUAGCCUAUCCUUGCUACUACUGUUGAUACCUUUACCUGCAAUCCUACAUGCUUAGUAUAGGAUGCUAGAUUUCCAUCAGUGGCCCUACAUUCUUGUCCGUCUGCUGUGCUAUACUAUCGGGUCGUGAUCACCUGGGCGGUGAUCACGGGUAUAUACUUAUAUACUAUAUACAUGACACAUGAGAUGACUAAAGUCGGGUCGGCUCGUAGGAGUACCCGCGAGUGUAUCUUUGUGGCGGAGCGACAAGGCAGGUUGAGACUGCCUAGGUGAGAGGUGGGCCUGGCCCUGGUCGGCGUUCGCGGUUACUUAACACGCUUAACGAGAUCUUGGUAUUUGAUCUGAGUCUGGCCAUUUGGUCUAUACGCACUAACCACCUACGUGGGAGUAGUUAUGGGUAUCCCGACGUCGUGGUAUCAGCCGAAGCUCUUUUGACGUCAGCAACUGAGUGGCGCGCGCCGCAUUGGACCGUAAGCUCGCGCUUGUAUUAAGGGGGCUAGGUCUGCUUCCGGCCGCGUACGCAACGUGCAGGUGUGUAUAGGGCGAUGGGCCCAGACCCCUGCGCGCAUAGGUUUAGACCGGCGUGCUGACCUCUCUGUUGAGCCUAGGUGGGGCUGCGACGUGUUGAUCUUACGAGGUCGGGCAUGACCCAGAAAAGUGUGUCCGGCCAAAUGGGAUCGAGCGUGUUGGGUUAUGUGGUGCACCCCUGCAGGGAAGUUUAUCUAUUCGAAUAGCCGUGUCCCUCGGUAAAAGGACGACCCGGAGUUGUACCUUGACCUUAUGACAACUAGAACCGGAUACUGAAUAAAAUACACCCUUCCAAGUGCCAGAUACAACCCGGUGAUCGCUCUCUAACAGGGCGACGAGGAGGGGAUCGCCGGGUAGGAUUAUGCUAUGCGAUGCUACUUGGAGGACUUCAAUCUACUCUCUUCUAUUUGCUGCAAGAUGGAGAUGACCAGAAGCGUAGUCUUCGACAGGACUAGCUUUCCCCCUUUUAUUCUGGCAUUCUGCAGUUCAGUCCACUGAUAUGCCCCUUUACACAUAUACCCAUGCAUAUGUAGUGUAGCUCCUUGCUUGCGAGUACUUUGGAUGAGUACUCACGGUUGCUUCCCUCCCUCUUUUCCCCUUUUCCUUUCCAUCUGGUUGUCGCAACCAGAUGCUGGAGUCCAGGAGCCAGACGCCACCGUCGAUGACGACUCCUACGACACUGGAGGUGCCUACUACUACGUGCAGGCCGCUGACGACGACCAGGAGUAGUUAGGAGGAUCCCAGGCAGGAGGCCUGCGCCUCGUUCGAUCUGUAUCCCAGUUGUGCUAGCCUUCUUAAGGCAAGCUUGUUUAACUUAUGUCUGUACUCAGAUAUUGUUGCUUCCGCUGACUCGUCUGUGAUCGAGCACUUGUAUUCGAGCCCUCGAGGCCCCUGGCUUGUAUUAUGAUGCUUGUAUGACUUAUUUAUGUUUUAGAGUUGUGUUGUGAUAUCUUCCCGUGAGUCCCUGAUCUUGAUCGUAUACAUUUGCGUGCAUGAUUAGUGUACGGUCAAAUCGGGGGCGUCACACACGUGCAGAGGCAGAGUGGAUCCGUCUGAGGUUUGCGGACUUCAAGACGGUUGGGGAGUACAAUUCGGCUCUGCACCGGAUUUGUACGACUCUUCGGUUGUGUGGUACUGAGAUUACCGACUCCCAGAAGAUUGAGAAAACCCUAUCCACUUUCCACCCCGACGCGGUCCAGUCCUCACGGAACUACCGCCAGGGGAACUACACGAGGUAUUCAGAGUUGAUUGACGUCCUCCAGGUGGCGGAGGCGCAAGACGAGGUUCUCAAAAAGAACUUUGUCGCGCAACCACUUGGGGGGAGUUCUCGCCAGGAGGUGAACGCUCUCAAAGUCCGCAAGCCUCAACAGAAGAAGAGGGGCCGGAAGGGCAAGAAGAAGGGCCCUCACCCCCCCGCCCCGGCUAAGCAGAACAAGCCGGGCAAGGGAGGGCAAAGGCCUCAGGACUGCUUCCGUUGUGGCUCGGUGGAGCAUUUCUCCCGCCAGUGCCGCGCACCACAGGAGGUCGUUGAUGCAUAUAAGGCUCGGAAGGCGCGUGAGACGCACCUCGCCUUGGUUCAGGAGGGAGCUCCACCGGCGCCCAUGGCGGCACCCGUGAUGAUUGCUACUCCCCCUGCUGCGCCUAUAGAGGCGACCCCCGUGGUGCCCAUCGCGGCAGCUUUGGCGGUCUCUACCGACGCCCACGUCGCCAUGGAGGUUGACCACAUGGCCGCCUCGGCGGCGCCGCCACUAGACAUUGAUGCUGCCUCCAAGAUAAUUUCUGAGGAGGAUCAGCUCACUAGUAUGGAGAUUGCGGCGGAAGUGAAUGGCUUCUUCACCGAGUCCACUUAGCAUACCCCUUUGGUUAUCAUGAUUCCGUGCUUUGAUACAAUAAAAUUGAAUAAAUUCGAUUUGGUUGUAAGCUCUAUGAGAGCAUAAACUUAUUCUUUACUUUGGCGAUUGGAUGACAUUUAUUCAUUUAUUCCAUUAUUUAUACAUGAUAGCAUGUUAUGUUCUGAGAUGUGUGCAUUUAUUUUUAAUGUAUUUUUCUUCCUCAUUACGUUAAUUAGAUGUCAUAUUUUAGAACGCGUGUGGCACCCGAAUGGAGGAAACGUGCCUUGCCGAUAGCGCCACCACUCAUACCAUUUUACGAGAAACUAAGUACUUUGAGUCCAUUAAAAAAUCUCCGGGAAGUAUUAUGACAAUCGCCGGCUGCGGUUCUCACAUAGUUGGCUCCGGACGAGCCACUAUUAUACUCCCCAUGGGAACAACUUUGCUCAUUAAUGAUGCGUUGUUGUACCCGGAGUCGACUCGUACUCUACUGAGCUUUAGAGACAUCCGCGCUAAUGGUUUCCAUGUUGAGACCGAUGAUGAAAACGGCAAGGAAUGCCUACUCAUCACAAAGCAGGAUGCAGGUGGUAAACAUGUUAUCGAAAGGCUUCCUUCGUUUGACACAGGGCUAUACUACACUAAGAUAGUAGCACCGCCCGUGUACACUACCCUCAAGACCGUCUUUAGAAGCUCUGAACUCUUCUGCCUCUGGCACAAUAGGUUAGGCCACCCCGGACUUAGGAUGAUGAGAAAUAUAAUUAACAACUCGCAUGGCCAUAAUGUUAACGUGAAGAACUUCCCGAAUCCUGAUGAUUUCGUGUGCUCCGCAUGCGCUAAGGGGAAGUUAGUCAUUAGGCCAUCACCCCUCAAGGUGAGGGAUGAAAUCCCCGCGUUCUUGGAACGUAUCCAAGGGGACAUAUGCGGUCCAAUUCAGCCCCUCACGGGGCCGUUUCGGUACUUCAUGGUGCUCAUUGAUGCUUCCUCUAAAUGGUCCAAUGUUUGCCUGCUGUCAACAAGAAACCAUGCCUUUGCAAAAUUGAUCUCACAGAUCAUACAAAUGCGGAAUAAUUUCCCGGAUUAUCGUAUAAAGUCUAUUCGAAUGGACAACACCGGAGAAUUUACUUCAAAGGCGUUCGAUGAUUAUUGCAUGGCAAUGGGAAUCAAAGUUGAGCACUCGGUACCACAUGUUCAUACACAAAAUGGACUUGCCGAGGCAUUGAUUAAAAGAAUUAAAUUCAUUGCCUGACCGCUCCUUCAGGGUUGUAAUUUACCAACUACAUGUUGGGGCCACGCGGUGUUACACGCGGCUAAUCUCAUCAACUUUCGACCGUCGGCCUACAACAUCCACUCUCCUGUUCAACUUGCGCAAGGGUCGGCACCGAAAAUUUCCCACCUUCGUAGGUUCGAUUGCCAGGUAUAUGUACCAAUACCACCCCCUCAGCGAUCGGCGAUGGGCCCGCUCCGUAAGUCGGGGAUAUACGUUGGUUAUGAGACUGUGUCCAUAAUCAGGUAUCUGGACCCCAUGACAGGAGACUGUCACACGGCUCGUUUUGCUGAUUGCAUUUUUGACGAGGAUCUUUUCCCGACUUUAGGGGGAGAGAAUCAACCCCUUGAUGCUAAAAGUCGAGAAAUCACGUGGCAAGCCACGGGGAUCCACGCUCAUGACCCGCGCACUGCUGAGACUGAGAGAGAAGUCCAAAAGAUAAUAGAUUUGCAGUCUUUAGCAAAUCAACUGCCCGACCACUUUAGUGACUUAAAGACUGUGACAAAAUCGCAUGUGCACGCGCGCAAUGCACCGGAAAGGGUUGAAAUACCGAAGAAAAAUGAUGGUAUGCCCGCUCCCGUCCAAAGGCCUAAAAGGACGAGAAAUCCGGCUUCUCAAAUCCCAAGUACUCGGGGACGCCCGACGAAAAAGGAUAAGAGAGAUUUAUCACAGCCUGUCACCAAAGUACCCCAAAUUGAAACGGGGAGCCAGUCGAGACCUGGCACAAGUACGAAAAAUUCAGUGCACGAAAUUCCGGACUUAAACUUUCCCAUAGGGGAAACACCCAGCGGAGAUGUGAGCGCACACAUCGGCGUGGGAAAUCUAAAGGACCUUGCUCCCAUAAUGGGAAAUUUGGUAGAGCAAGUGUUUGCGCCUGAUGCGCUCCAUGACGAAAUGGCCAUAAAUUAUAUUUAUACGGGGGAGUCCCUGAACCGAGCAACGGUGAUUGUCGACAUCAACUUUGCUACGAAAAUUGCCUCAAUCAUAGAUCUUGACCCUGAGCCUAACACGCUCGCUGAUUGCAAGAAAAGGUCGGAUUGGAAAGAUUGGCAGCAGGCAAUUAUUGCCGAAUUAUUAUCUCUCAACAAAAGGAAGGUGUUCGGACCAGUUUGUCGAACUCCUCCCCACAUUUGCCCUGUUGGCCAUAGGUGGGUUUUUGUUCGAAAGAGAGAUGAAAAUAAUAAGGUAGUACGGUACAAAGCAAGGCUCGUUGCUCAAGGGUUCACUCAACGACCAGGUGUCAAUUUUGAGGAGACUUAUUCCCCAGUCAUGGAUGGAGUUACCUUUAGAUACUUGAUCUCGAUGGUAGUAAACAUGGGCUUGAAAAUGAAACUAAUGGAUGUUGUCACUGCUUACCUAUAUGGUAACUUGGAUUCGAACAUAUACAUGAAGGUUCCAGAAGGUAUCCUUGUUCCGAACCAUGAUAGAGCAAAUAGGGGUCUAUACAGUGUUCAACUUCAAAAGGCACUGUACGGACUCAGACAGUCUGGUAGAAUGUGGUACAAUCGCUUAAGUGAUUUCCUUCAUGAGAAGGGCUACACGAGCAAUAAAGAUUGCCCAUGUGUUUUAAUACGGCGAUCCCAAGAUGGAUUCUGUAUAAUCUCGGUGUAUGUGGACGAUUUAAACAUAAUCGGUACACCUGAGGAUAUUGAGGAAGCGAGUUCCUACCUGAUGUCGGAAUUCGAGAUGAAGGAUUUGGGUAAAACCAAGUUCUGUCUAGGUCUGCAACUUGAACAUUCCCCUGAUGGGAUUCUAGUGCACCAGUCGGCCUACACCCAGAAGGUGUUGGAGAGAUUUGGAUUUGAUAAGGCAUAUCCUUCUAAGACCCCGAUGGUCGGAAGAUCUUUACAGCCAGACAAGGACCCGUUCAGGCCAAAGGAAGAGGGGGAGGAAACUCUGGGACCAGAGGUUCCUUACCUGAGUGCAGUUGGAGCACUCAUGUACCUCGCAAAUUGUACACGGCCAGACAUUGCUUUCGCCGUCAGUUUGCUUGCUCGGUACAGUUCUGAACCUACCAAAAGACAUUGGAAAGGUGUCAAGGACGUCUUCCGUUACCUGCAAGGGACCAAAGAUCUUGGUCUAUUUUAUAAGAGGAAUCAAGACCUAUCUAUAAUAGGCUAUGCCGAUGCUGGGUACCUGUCGGACCCGCAUGAUUGCAAAUCGCUGACUGGGUAUGUUUUCCUUUGUGGUGGAACUGCGUUUUCCUGAAAAUCGUCCAAGCAAACACUUGUGUCGACUUCCACGAACCACUCGGAAAUCAUGGCACUAUUCGAAGCGUCAAAAGAGUGUGUAUCGCUUCGGCGGAUGAUCGGCCACAUUCAGCAGACAUGUGGGCUGAACACCGUACAAACCCCUACCAUUAUCUAUGAAGAUAAUGCUGCUUGUGUUGCACAAGUCCAAAUGGGUUAUGUGAAGAGUAACCUCACAAAGCAUAUUAGUCCCAAGUUCUUCUAUGCGCAUGAGCUGCAACAGUUGAACGAGGUAAGAGUUUUGCAUACUAAGUCCUGUGACAAUCUUGCUGAUAUGUUCACUAAAUCAUUACCGGCAUCAACCUUAGAGAGGUGUGUGCGUGGAAUCGGUACGAUGAGACUUAGAGAGAUGCAAGGUUCAGGGGGAGAAACUUCACAAACUCGUCGCUAAAAUCUCAAUCCUGAUGAUCGAGUACUCAACCUGAUGGUUGAGUGGAUUGUACUCUUUUUCCCUUGAGUGAGUUUUCCUGAUGUUUCUCACACGAGGUUUUUGACAAGGCAAUUCGUGCAAUACAACAACGUAUACUGUGUGCUCUUUCUCCACAUUUUUUUCCACUGGGUUUUUCGGAGUUUUGAGGCAUGGAUAUACGGAUAAUUACCCAAGGGGGAGUGUUGGGAAACCGGGUCACCCGGAGGGGUGGCGGCGGCCGCGUGCAAAGCGCACGGGCCGGCCCCUCCCGUUUCCCCUCUUUUUGUUAAGUGGGUACUUAUCCCUUGACCCCUGGUCCAUAUAUAAAGCAACGAGGGACUAUCAUUGUAAUCUCUGAUCAUUGAUUAAUAAAGCUGGUCUCCUCCAUCUCUCUGUGUCAUUUUACUUUCGCAUACUUCGACUACUUCGUCUACGACGCUCGCUCUCGCUCCGCAACCUCGGACCGGACUCGCCGGCGGAGUUGCGGAACAGGCAACACUCUUCUUCUUCGCGCAAUCAACCUGCUCCCCUGCCUCCAAAUUAACUGGCAGCUGGCUUAUAUUCUGUGCGGACAACAUGAUUCUUCCAUUCAUUGUGGCUCAAUGCCAUCAACUAUGUUGACUUUAUGGCCGUGGUGAAAAUGGACGAAUCUCGCUCCUUUCUAAAAUUUUGGCACAACAUGAACCCAAUUCAAAAAGGUUUUUACAAAAUGGCCAACUUUUGCAUGACUCACGGCGCGUCAUGCAAAUGAGCCAUUUGUGCAUUUCUUUUUUGGCCGGGUUCGUUUUGUGCUAAAGUUUCGGAAAAGCACUAGAUUCGUCCAUUUUCACAAGGCUGUGUGCACUCUCGAGACCAUUUCUACUAUGUUUUGUAAAGAAAAGGUGAGAGGACUAGGCACUGAUUUUUUCUAAAUGAAAUAUUCAUAUUCAUACCAUCACCAUAAAGAUACAAGUACACCCCCGACACGAUCUACAAGUAAUACAGGUUGAACAAUUGUCCCAUCCAAAACAUAUAUAGCCCCAUGAUACAACUUAAAAUUACAACUAAGUCACUAGAAAACUAUAUCGCGCUAAACAUCACCUUUAUCAGCUUCCAGGUAAAAGUGCAGAGGAGCACCAUCGCACCUGUUGCUUUGUGAUACGUCUCAAACGUAUAUAUAAUUUAUUUUUUUAUUGUUUCAUGCUAUUAUAUUAUAACUUUUGAAUAUUUUUUAUAGCAAUUUAUAUUAUUUUUUGGUACUAACCUAUUAGUUAGUGCCGAAAGCCAAUUGUUGUUUUCUGCAUGUUUUUGGUUUUACAGAAAAUGCAUAUCUACGGAGGUAAAAAACCCGAAGGAUUUAAUACGAUUUUUUCGCGACCUUCCAGAAAGUGUCGGGACCUUCCUAGGGGCAACCAGGGGCCCCACGCGGCCAAGGGCUGACCCGCAUCGGGUGCCGCGUGGGCCUCUUGUGCACCUCCUUCUGUCCAUUCUUCCGCCUACAAUUUCAUAUUUCGCAAAACUCUUCGUACCAAUUUUCUCUGAUUUUUUUCAGCGCCGCAAGUUUCUGUUCCGAGGAGGUCCAAUCUGAAGCCUGUUUUGGCAACCUGCCAGAGAGGGAAUCCAUCACCAGAGGCUUCUUCAUCAACCUUGUUGUCUCCAUGACCAUGCAUGAGUAGUUCCUUUAAGACCUUAGGGUCCAUAGCAGUAGCUAGUUAGCGUCCUCUCUCCCCUGUGAUUCAAACGAAGUUCCCGUGAUCUGCCUCACAUGAUCGGGAUCCAUAUGGUGUAAUCGGUGGUGUGUUUGUUGGGAUAUGAUGAAUUGUCACUUUAUGAUCAGGUUGUUGAUGAAAUAAACUGAAUCUUUUGAAAUUUCUUUGUUAAAUAAUUGAAUAGCUUUGUAUGCUCUCCGAUCUAUUUGUAUUUUUUUGAUCAAUUUGAUCGGUAGUUCUUCAGAGAGUGUUGUGCAUUGUAGUGGGUUCAUAUCUUGCGGUGAUCUGUAUCCCACUAACAGAAAAAGAAAAGGCAAGUAUUGUAUUGUUGCCACUAAGAAUAAAACGAUGGUUUCUUUAUUACACUUGGAUGAUAGUUUUAUUGUCUUGGGGUAGAGUAUUAGUUGUAGAUGCGGUUGGAUAACGGUCUACAUAUCACUGACAUAAUUCCUAUAUGAGAUUAUACCAUGAAUGAUCAUAGUCAUAAAUAUAAAUAUUGCAAUUUGAUCGAUGUCCGACAGUAAUUUGUUCACCACACCACACUAGUAUGCUUGGAGAGAUGCCACUAGUGAAAUUAUGGCCCCGGGGGACUAUUUUCCUAUACUAAAAACUUUAUCAAAAAAAUAUUUCCUUGUUGUGCCAUUUCUUUUUUUACAUAUCUAUUAAUUCUACCACACCGUGCAAUUUAAUCUUGUAACUAGCAAGGCAAGAAGCUUGACAACCUCUUAAAUUGUUGGGGACAAGUUUAUUUUGUGUUUUGUGUGCAGGUACCAGUGACUUUGUUUGUUGAAAGAACUGUAGGGUAACGCAGCAGAAAACAAAAAAUUUCCGACCUACGCACCAGCCCAGGACCACUAUGGAGACUGCAUACAUGGUUUGAUCUUUUUCGUUACCGACUCGUAGCGCAGCGGGAAGUAGAGUCGAUGACGAUCGGCGGUGCAGAUCCCCGCAGCUAGGAUUUACGACCUCCCAACCGCGAGGAUGUAUACCCUCAUCUGCUCCUCAGACAGCCCUCAGGGAGGCGGUCGAAUAGCCCCCCGGACGGUGUCGCGGACAGCCCUUCGGGAGGACCUUCGAAACUCGAACGGUCACUCGGACAGCCCUUCGGGAGGACCUUCGAAACUCGGACGGUCACAUGGACAGCCCUUCGGGAGGCACUCACGAACUAAGACCGAAACUAUGAUCUCUCUAUAGAGUUGCACACAUACGGUGUCAUCUAUCCGGCAGGGCUUCGCCAUCCAGAACUAGUUCCUGCCGGAACCCAGACAGCCUUUCGGCUUUACGAAACUAUUUCGCGGGGAGGGAGAGAGAAGCCAGAUCAUUGCAUGGCACUUGUAUGUGAGAAGGGAUGAGGUUUAGGCUGCCCACUCCUCCUCUAUUUAUAGGAAAGCCAAGGGGUAGGGAUGGCUCACAAAAACCCAAAAUGCCCAUGUAAAUGUCACACAUGAAGGGCAUAAUGGGGAGGGAAGUGGAGCUCCAUGGAGCCCCACACAUGUGGCCGGCCAACCCCCUUGGGUGACCCCCAUGAGGAGCAUGCUUGGCCCCCAAGCCCUUCUAGAAGCCUUUUGGAAAUAUCCCAAAAGGUGACUCACCAUAAAAUAUCCCAAAAAGCACUUUCACUAUUCACGACGACAUUUUUCAGCGUCUGUUCGAACUGAAAAUAUUUGUGUGGGCUUAGAACAUUUCCAGUACCCACCAAAAUUAUUUUCAACGCGUUCUGAAACAAUUCCGGUUUAGUGAUUUUCAUCUGCGAAAAGCAUCUGAAGUGGUUCCGGCAGCUCCGGAGCAUAUCCGGUUAUUAUCCCGGAAAAUUCCAGAAAGCUUCCAGAAUGAUUCUGGCACCCUCCAAGAAUUAUCAGGCAUGUGCCGAAACCAAUUUGACUUUAUGGUAUCCCCUGAAACAACUUUUCAGUUUCAUCGAAACUCAUCCGAUGACCUCUUUCUGCGGAACCUUUUCCGCUGUCCGAAACUUUUUCGGUGUCCGAAACUUUUUUGGUGAUUUUCUCUCAGACUCCUUGUCUAGUAUUCAGUAGAUAGAUGACCCUUAAGCGUGUGACCCUAUAGGUUCGGUGAAGUAUAGACAUGACUGGAACCCUUUCCGAUCAAUGAUCAACAUCGGAGCCGUGGACACCCAUAUUAACCCCUAUACCCACACGAAUAAAUAUUUGAGUGAACCUCCAGUUGCCGUGUGCUAUUCCUGUUGCUUCGCGAUAUGUUACAAAUACCCGAGGUGAGACAUGUUGGCAUUCCCGUGGAUCAACAACUUGUCCACUAUGCUAGUUACCUCGUUACCGGUAUUGUUCUCUUUUCUCGUUAUCGUGUUCCGGCAUCCCCGUGAUCAAAUCACAAAGUGUCUGGCCAGACGAUGAUGGAUACCGUAACACCGAGAGGGCCCAGAGAUAUCUCUCCAUCGUCGGAGGAGAAAAUCCCAAUCUUGAGCUAUCAAGUUACUUGACACACUUUUCCAUGAACCCGUAAGCCGCCGUAAUAGCCACCCAUUUACGGAUGACGUUUAACAAACCCCAAAGUUCAUGAAGCAAGCAUGAAGAAACUCGAUACUCUCAUGGUCUAAGGAAUCAUGCAAACGUUAACCAUCUCUGUGUUAUGUACCAUUAACUUGUGAUGAAUGAAUCUCAUAGCAUAACAUCAAUCCGGGUCGAUUCAACACAAAUGUUCUCUUAACAUUGUGCCCUCAAAAUUGCUGGCAUAGACAUGCCCAUGAUCAGGAAAACAGAACCAUCAUGCAACGCUUGAGCUAGUCUUAGAGGCCAGACUAGGAAUACUUCUUACCGUUUAUUAUUCCACACGUGCAUAUGAGUCUUCCUCCGAGCCUCGUGGAUAUUGCAGACUCGAGAAUCAUUGCAGUUAUAGCAUGGAACAUAAACAUAAUUAUGAACUCGGAGAUAAAUAAUAUCAUUUAUUAUUGCCUCUAGGGCAUAUCUCCUACAAGAACUCCCUCUGAUUCGAUAAACUAUGAUUCUCUACCAAGGAAAAUACUUAUUGCUAGGUUACUUCACCCUUAUACUUGGGGGUACCCAACCACUCUUAUGAGAGAGCAAGUAGUUUGUGGGCCUCAAAAACCACCCGCUGAAUUGAAGGAUCUGAUUGGCAAUUGACGCAUAUCAAUCGGGGAAUCCCCAUGCUCUUCUCGGCCUCGGGCCUGCGACUAAUGCCAGCCAUGGCCACAAAAAAGAGGCAACCCCACCCUUCAACACUCCAUGAGAUCCACGACUGGCCGCCUGAACAAAGACUCACCGCUCACACCACCUCCCAAAGACAAAACAAUGGACGAUCAACGACUCCUAAUCAAAAGCAUAGAAGACCCGACAAGGCAGGUCUCAAGGACUCCCCCCUCACUGUCCUGCAACCACCGCUGGAGCCAACUCGGCAUCAUGAGGAUAGGGCCUGAGGGAACCUUAAUUAUUUGCAUCAACGACAUCCAUGCCUCGACAUUGGUGCCAGGAGACCCUAACUCGGGCCCUAAUGGCCCUUAUCCGCCCCUCCACACGGAGAUCCGGGCUCCUCUAAUCUAACCCUCGCCACAUCAUUUCAAUGCCGGAGGAAAGGGGGAGAAACAAAUUUUGCCCCUAGAGUGCCCCCUUUUCUUGUGUCGCCCUCCGCUCUCUUUUUUAACUCUUGUUUCGAGAGAGUCCGAGUAUCAUGCCAUUGCGUGCUAAUUCCACACACCAAGUUAACUUUGUGAUCACAUAAGGGCAUUUCUAGCCGAAUCCCAAAAUGUAGCUCCUCAAAAGCCCCCUCAAACCUUGACUCCUCAAUUUUGAGGGGUUAAAUGAAAGGGUUCCUAGUCAAACUCCUAAAACUUAAGUCCCAACUUUUUAAAACAUAAAUUUGUUUAUUCAGGCCAUCGAGUUAGCUUCACUCGUCUUAAGAUCAAUAUAAACUACUCCCUUCGUUCACAAAUAUAAGAUGUGUAGGAUAUUUUAAUAUGAACUACAUAUUGACUGAAAUGAGUGAACAAACACACUAAUAUGCGUCUAUAUACAUCCAAAUUAGAAAAAUUAGAACAUCUUAUAUUUGUGAAUGGAGGGAGUACUUUAUAAAACAACAUUUUGGGCACAUAGUUCACCGGUUCCUGAGAACUGGUCCAUACAAGAGGACAAGAACAAUUACACACACACAACUUCGGUUUUUUUUUUUGCGGAAAACACAAACACAACUUCCUUAACUGCUACAACAAGUGCAAUCAACUCUUUUCCCAUCUCCUUAGUUUCAUUGUCAACACUUUUGCCCUUCUCUGUUGACUUCUCUGGCGUGCAUACUUAUUUCUUCUCUGCCUCCACAUGAAGAAACUUGGACAUUGUGUCCUCUAUAAUCUCAUCUCUAGCAACAAGUGCACCAACAUCAAAUAAACCUCACUAAAUAAAUAUAUCAAUGUAUUCUUCUUCCCAAUACCAAAAGUUGCAACCUUUUUUUGCAUAAUAUUAAGACAACAUUGAGCUCACAUUGCUCACAACAAAGAAUAACCACACAAUGUUGCACUCGCUUUGUCCUUUUCACUCCACGUAGAAGACCGAUCCGGGAUGUUUCCCCGUCGUGGUGACCCGUCACCAGCACAAUACCAGCUGCCGACAGUCAUCACAUUUUAUGAGCGGUAGAGGCGAGCCGACGAGUUGCUGGGUGGCGGUUGAGCCCUCGAAGGAUCAGCAAAACACGAGCGGCGAGAGGAGGAGGACAUCCCGCGAGGAGCUCUGGAGGCGGCGCGGGACACUCUAGGUGGCUAUGCGGUUCCGUUCCUGUCGAAACGCUACUUUGUGGCGACCCUUCUCAUCAAUAUGCUCGGGGCAGCGGCGAGGCCUAGAUGCGUUGAUUCCGGCAACGUGGGCGGCUGUGGGAAGCGAACCGAAGUAGGGCGGCCUGCUAUCGGGUGUUGACGCUGGCAUGGNNNNNNNNNNNNNNNNNNNNNNNNNNNNNNNNNNNNNNNNNNNNNNNNNNNNNNNNNNNNNNNNNNNNNNNNNNNNNNNNNNNNNNNNNNNNNNNNNNNNNNNNNNNNNNNNNNNNNNNNNNNNNNNNNNNNNNNNNNNNNNNNNNNNNNNNNNNNNNNNNNNNNNNNNNNNNNNNNNNNNNNNNNNNNNNNNNNNNNNNNNNNNNNNNNNNNNNNNNNNNNNNNNNNNNNNNNNNNNNNNNGCGAAGGGUUCUCCGUAAAAAAAUUAUGAGCUAAACUUUCUAAGGGUUCGGCUAGAGAUGUUCUAACACUGUUUGGUUCUUUCUUAAUUCCUUGUACCGCCAAAAUUGCAAAUCUCCAGGACUACAUGAGCAGCUGUUGACAGUUACCUGCUGUCAGAACACUAUGCUUCUUAACAGCACCAGCUGUAUGCUCUCGCAUUUUAUUUGCACAUAUUUGAGCUGAAAGACCAGCGCCGACCAUUGACACAUCGUUUAGCUCAAGGGACGACAUGAUAGCUCGGUAAGACUUUCUAAAUGAUCUCAUGGCUGGCUCAAGGGGAGUAAUAUAUCAUAGACGAGCGGCGCCCAUUGUCUGCAUCGACCACACCAUUCUACCCUUUGUUUUACACUGCACACGUUGCCUCUGGCCUAGGGUUUGGGUUAACCAAGAAGAAAUUACGCGUAUCAAGAAGUAUAACAGUUGUACGAUUCUGAUGUUACUGUUUGGCCUGUGGUGGUAGUAGCAUUUUGUUUUGGCCUAGUGGGAGUAUUUCAUUAUACAGAGGUGUAUCACUAAAAGCAUCUUCCCCGGCUCAUUUCCACUGUAAUAUUCACAUUUUCCAACGGGCAAGAUGACGCCCUCAAAGCCUUAGUGCUCAAGUUCACCGCAAAAACCUUCUGCCAUAGCAACACCGUUGGCCACUCUGCCACGAUCAGUGGGACGUGAACGCCUGCACGGUGUCACGUGACAUAAAAUGAUCUGCAUGAGAAUCACAGAAGCAAAUCAUAAGUAACCAAGCGUGUAUUUGCAUGUACGUACCGAGAAGAUGUUGCAGUGGCCGGGGUCGGCGAGGUGCGCGAAGAGGUUGUCGAGGGGGCCCUGGCCGGUGUAGACGGCCUGGAACCAGAAGCCGACGAAGGCGAGCAUGGCAAGGCGGCCGUUCUUGAUCUCCUUGGUGCGGAGCACCAUGACGGGCUCCGGCGAGCCGCGGCCCCAGUUGCCCCAGUCGAACCACAGGCCCCCCGGGUACCCCACGUCCGGGGUGGGGUUCUUGCGGUUGGGGAACC